GUAGGUGAACCUGCGGAAGGAUCAUUACAGAGUUCAUGCCCUCACGGGUAGAUCUCCACCCUUGAAUACAUACUAUGUUGCUUUGGCGGGCCGCCUAGGCUACCGGCUCUGGCUGGUAUGUGCCCGCCAGAGGAUCAAAACUCUGUCUACAGUAUCGUCUGAGAACUUUAUAAUAGUUUAAAACUUUCAACAACGGAUCUCUUGGUUCUGGCAUCGAUGAAGAACGCAGCAUCUGACUGACUGAACUGUA
rnacentral:misc_RNA from 1 species